UCUCUAGCUUGCUUGCUAGCAUAUAUAUACCUGCCCCUGGAAAUUUCCACUACAUGCAUCUGAGGAAGUGCGUAUUCACCCAUGAAAGCUCAUGCUCCAAAACGUCUGUUAGUCUAUAAGGUGCCACAGGAUUCUUUGCUGCUUUUACAGAUCCAGACUAACACGGCUACCCCUCUGAUACUUGAGAUUUCAGGCAGCAUAACUACAUCACUCUAGGGUGUGAAAAAUCCUCACCCCUGAGCGGCAUAGUUAAGCUGACCUAAGUCCCCAUGUAGACAGUGCUAGGUUGAUGGAAGAAUUCUUCCGUCAACCUAGCUACUGUCUCUGGUGAGAGGGAUUAUCUAUGCCUGUGGGAGAAUCCCUCCCAUUGGCAUAACUAUUCUGUGCUGUAGCAUUUUAAGUGAAGACAAGCCCUAAAUCUCCACUAGAGAAGGUGCCCUAAGCCAUCUUCUGUAAGAAAUACUACUAAAGGAGGUGGUGCUCCCCCUUAUAAUAUUUAGCCCAGUGCUUAAAGCAGUCCUCUAGGAUGUGUGAAAGCCGAGAUCAAUUUCCCAUCCAUCUGAUAUAGAGAUUUGAACAUAGGUCUGCUUUCCUACAAGAGUGCUGCAGCCACUGGGCAAAAGGGGGAUGGGACUUCAGUCUAUCCUGAUGAAGUGAUUCCACUGUGUAUAGUAUUUAAAUAGUCACUGACCCAGAGAGCAAGUGAAAAUGCCUCUAUUGCCCAGGGAUUAGACCACUCAAUUAUGACAGGACAUCCAAGUUCAAGGCCCUCUGCUCUAAUGAAUAUUUAAUUAUUUAUACUCAGUGGAACAGCUUCAACAGGAGAGACUGAGUCAUACUACAGAAUACCCUAUAGCCCACUGAUGAGGGUGCCCUUCUAUGAAGGCGGACCUAAGCUUUUUCACAUCAGGUAGAGAGGAGAAAUGAAGGUGUGUUUCCCUCAUCCUGAGUACUCUAACCUCUUGGAUAGAAAUUAUAAGGGAAGCACCUCCUCCUCUGUCUGUUUUCUGUGGUGUUAGGGGUGCUCUGACAGCAUCUACUAGAUUGGGCCCUGCAUGCAAGAGAGGUGGGGCAGUGCCUAGUUUGACAAUCCUGCUGGGGUCUACAUGUGAGAGAGGCACCUAGACUAAGGUGGCCAUGUACACUUUCACUUGCAAUAGGUACCUAGGGGACUUUUCCAGCAGGAACGUAAGUGCCUACAGAGUUAGGCAGCACCCGGGCUGGGGUUUUGAAGGUCUCACUGUGACUUAUAUUUUGGAUUUAGGCACUAAUGUCAUUCUGAGGAUCUAGCUCUGGGUUCUUUCCCCUGACCCUGUUCAGCUGAGUUACUUGUUGGCUUUUGUGAGGACCAGGUGUCAUGGUAUAAACCCCCACUCUGAACCUUAGCGUCCAAAAGAUGGAGUACCAACAUGAAUUCCUCUAAGCUCAAUUACCAGCUUAGUACUUGUAGCACUGCCACCAACCAGGAAUUUCAGUGCCUGGUACACUCUGGUCCUCCUAAAACCUUGCCGGGGGACCCCCGAGACUGAGUCCCUCUGGAUCUUAACACAAGGAAAGUAAACCCUUUCCCUCGCUGUUGCCUCUCCCAGGCUUCCCCUUCCUGGGUUACCUUGGAAAAUCACUGUGAUUCAAACUCCUUGAAUCUUAAAACAGAGAGGAAAAUUCACCUUCCCCGCUCCUUCUCUCUCCCCCUCCCAGACUCUCCCUGAGAGAGAAAGUAAUCCUAACACAGAGAGAAAAUUAACCUUUCUCUCCCCCUUCCCUCCUUUCUCCCCACCAGUUCCCUGGUGGAUCCAGACCCAGUCCCCUGGGGUCUCACCAGAAUAAAAAAACAAUCAGGUUCUUAAACAAGAAAAGCUUUUAAUUAAAGAAAGAAAAAACAGUAAAAAUUAUCUUUGCAUAUUCAAGAUGGAAUAUGUUACAGGGUCUUUCAGCUAUAAACACUGGGAAUACCCUCCCAGCCUAAGUAUACAAGUACAAAUUAAAAUCCUUUCAGCAAAAUACAAAUUUGAACUCCUUCCAGCCAAAUACACAUUUGCAAAUAGAGAAAACAAAAAUAAGCCUAACUCGCUUUAUCUACCUAGUACUUACUAUUCUGGACAUAUAAGAGACUGUAUUGGAGAGAAACCUGGUUGCACGUCUGGUCACUCUCAGAACCCAGAGAGAACAACAACCAAAUACUAACAGCACACACAAAAACUUCCCUCCCUCAAGAUUUGAAAGUAUCCUGUCCCCUGAUUGGUCCUCUAGUCAGGUGACAGCCAGGCUCACUGAUCUUGUUAACCCUUUCCAGGCAAAAGAGAUAUGAAGUACUUCUGUUCUAUUAACUCUUACUUAUCUGUUUAUGACACCAGGUGAUCUUGUUUUCAACUGAUCCCUGACUUCACACAUCAGCUUAAAGAGGGAGUGUUCUAAGGUGACAUUGGAGUAGUCAAAUAUUUUACUGUAAAACAGUGUGUGAACACUACAUUUGAUGAGCUCUCUUUCAGUGUGGGGCACUUUUACUGUUUUAACCUGGAAGAAAGUUUUUCUUGCAUGGUUUCUAUCUAGGUAUUGGAGUGUUCUAUUUAUUACUAUCAUUCCAUUAAUGUCAGAAAUGUCCGUAAUGUUUGGAUUCUGUUCUGUUGCCAAACAUUGUUCAGGUCUGUCGCAUCUUACGCGCAUUUAACAUGAGCGAUUUCAGCUUUGCAUGAUUGGGAGAAAGGAAAAAAAAACAACCUGGCGAUUCCACCAACGUGAGAUGCGAAUAUGCUGUUCCCAUUGAAAUAUUUUUUGGGGGGACCUGACAGCAACAGCAGGUCUUUAGGACUGUGAUAAGGUUCUCCCCUAUAACAACCCUGGAGAGUUGGCAAAAAAACAAAGUUUCAUUCUGGGGCAGACACACUAUUUAAUAUGAGAUGGGAGAAGCGAAUCUGCUGUUCCCACUACAUUACUCAGUCCCCCUGUGCCUCUGAUACUGUGCGCAUCUUGCCGCGCUGAGUGAGACUCUACUGUGCCUGUACUAUUUAAAGAGACAGUACUUAUUUUUCAUACUGUAUAACAUGGCCCCUAAAUGCAAGGUACCUACUUCAUCUGGUGCUCAACCGAAGAAACAGCGAUGUGUUCCAACGCUGGAGGAAAAACUGGCUGUGUUGGACUUAUUGAAAGACAGUAUGUCCAUCGCCAACAUGACGCGUAAAUACGGCCGCAACGAAUCUAGCAUCCAUGCCAUCAAGAUUUGAGAGACAAAUUCAUCAAGCCAUGGCAUCAAGUGCUCCAGUCACUGCUAAGGUGAUGAGCCAAGUGCGUGAUAAGACUUUAGUGAAGACUGAAAAGGCAUUUCACUUAUGGCUGGAAGACAUGAACUGUAAACGUGUGCCUAUCAAUAGCAACGUUGCGAGAAAAAGCUCUUAGCAUCUAUGCACUGUUCAAACCUCCCACCGAAGAGGGACAGCCAUCUGAUAAGGAAUUCAAAGCCAGCCAAGGUUGGCUUAACAGUUUUAGGAGCCACUUCAACCUCAAAAAUGGGCAGACUACUGGUGAAGCUGCAUCUGCCAAUGAGGAUGCAGCAAAAGCCUACCCCCGAACAAUUAAAGAAAAUCAUAGAGGAAAGGAGCUAUCUUCCAGAACAAGUUUUUAAUGCUGACAAGACUGAGCUCUUCUGGAAAAAAAUGCCCACCCACACUUACAUUUCAAAAUCAGAAAGACAAGCCCCUGACUUCAAAGCAGAUAAAGACCGUGUGACUGUGUUGCUUUGUGGCAAUGCAGCUGGGCAUUUAAUAAAGCCGGGCUUGCUCUACAGGGCUGCAAAUCCCCAUGCCCUAAAAUGCGAGAACAAAAAUCUCCUGCCUGUGUUUUGGCAAUCAAAUAAAAAGGCUUGGGUGAUGUCAGCAUUAUUUCUGGAUUGGUUCCACAAGUGUUUCAUUCUGGAGGUCAAGCAGUCCCUUGAAGAAAAAGGACUUGACUUUAAAGUGUUGCUGAUCGUAGACAAUGCUCCUGGCCACCUUGCGGCACCCCAGUUUUCACAUAAUGACAUUGAAGUCAUCUUCCCUCCCCCCACAAUACCUCCUCCAACCUCUCGACCAAGGCGUCAUUAGCUGUUUCAAGGCCACAUACACGAGGCUUACAUUCUCACGGAUCCUUACCGCUACGACUGCUGAUCCCAAUGUUAAUGUGAUGGAGUGUUGGAAGUCCUUCAACAUUGCUGAUUGCAUCACUUAUAUUAAACAGGCAAUGGAUGCAAUCAAGCCUGAAACAGUCAAUGCAUGUUGGAGAAACCUGUGGGAAGACUGUGAGAGUGAUUUUAAGGGUUUCCUGACCAUUGAUAAAGAAGUGCAACUCAUUGUUCAGGUGGCCAGGCAAGUGGAUGGUGAUGGCUUCGUCAGCAUCCUCGCAGAAGAAAUUGAAUUAAUUGAGGGCCAUAGAGAAACUUUGACUAACAAAGAGUUUAGAGGAACUGAUAAAAUCGUCUACAGAAAACGAAGAUGAUGACGAACAGGAAGAGCCAGCAACUUGGAAUCUUCAUAAAUUUUCGGAAGUGUUCCAAGCAGCAGAACACUUGAAUGAUUUAAUUUCUGAAUAUGAUUCCUCUAUGGAACGAAGCCUCAAAAUCACAUGUAGUAUUACGGAUGAUUUGAGACUGUGCCAAGAAAUGUUUGAGGAGCUCAAGAGACAACAGCGACAGUUGCCAAUCACCAUGUUUUUAAAGAAAAAACUAGCAGCAGCAGAGCCUACACAAUCAACUUCUCCAGCUGAACCAGAGCCAACUACUUCUUCGUCUGUGACUCGCUCUCCAUCACCCAAGCUUGGCCCAUCCUCUCCUGGAUCGACAUCAAGCCCUGACAACUCAAUAAUAGUGUUGUCAGGGGAAGAAGACUAAUCAUUGUAGUAUGUACAGUACAAGACUAGCAAGAAUAUCCAGGAUGACUGGUGACUGUUCAGGUUUACUGUACUGUACUGUUUUCAUUCUUUCAUUCUUCUGUCAUAUUAUUAAAUACUGUAAAAU